rnacentral:tRNA from 1 species
GGAGAGGUGCCAGAGCGGUUUAAUGGGCACGCCUGGAAAGCGUGUGUGGGUGCAAAUCCACCGCAGGUUCGAAUCCUGUCCUCUCCGCCA